UAGAGUUUGAUCCUGGCUCAGAACGUACGCUGGCGGCACGCCUAAUACAUGCAAGUCGAACGAAGUAGCAAUACUUAGUGGCAGACGGGUGAGUAACAUGUAGGUAUCUGCCCUUUGGCCUGGAAUAACACGAGGAAACUUGUGCUAAUACCGGAUAAGUCUUUACGGAGAAAGCUUUAUGCACCAUUGGAUGAGCCUGCACUUGAUUAGUUUGUUGGUGGGGUAAUGGCCUACCAAGACUGUGAUCAAUAGCUGAUUUGAGAGGAUGAUCAGCCACAUUGGGACUGAGACACGGCCCAAACUCCUACGGGAGGCAGCAGUAGGGAAUCUUGCACAAUGGAGGAAACUCUGAUGCAGCGAUGCCGCGUGAGUGAAGAAGGCCUUUGGGUUGUAAAGCUCUUUCGUCGGGGAAGAAAAUGACUGUACCCGAACAAGAAGGUCCGGCUAACUUCGUGCCAGCAGCCGCGGUAAUACGAAGGGACCUAGCGUAGUUCGGAAUUACUGGGCUUAAAGAGUUCGUAGGUGGUUGAAAAAGUUGGUGGUGAAAUCCCAGAGCUUAACUCUGGAACUGCCAUCAAAACUUUUCAGCUAGAGUUUGAUAGAGGAAAGCAGAAUUUCUAGUGUAGAGGUGAAAUUCGUAGAUAUUAGAAAGAAUACCAAUUGCGAAGGCAGCUCUCUGGAUCAAUACUGACACUGAGGAACGAAAGCAUGGGUAGCGAAGAGGAUUAGAUACCCUCGUAGUCCAUGCCGUAAACGAUGUGUGUUAGACGUUGGAAAUUUAUUUUCAGUGUCGCAGCGAAAGCGAUAAACACACCGCCUGGGGAGUACGACCGCAAGGUUAAAACUCAAAUGAAUUGACGGGGACCCGCACAAGUAGUGGAGCAUGUGGUUUAAUUCGAAGAUACGCGCAGAACCUUACCAACACUUGACAUGUUCGUCGCGACUUUAAGAGAUUAAAGUUUUCGGUUCGGCCGGACGAAACACAGGUGCUGCAUGGCUGUCGUCAGCUCGUGUCGUGAGAUGUUGGGUUAAGUCCCGCAACGAGCGCAACCCUCACUUUUAGUUGCCAUCAUUUAGUUGGGCACUCUGAAAGAACUGCCAGUGAUAAGCUGGAGGAAGGUGGGGAUGACGUCAAGUCCUCAUGGCCCUUACGUGUUGGGCUACACACGUGCUACAAUGGUAUCUACAACAGGAAGCAAGACGGCGACGUUAAGCAAAUCCUCAAAAGAUACCUCAGUUCGGAUUGCACUCUGCAACUCGAGUGCAUGAAGCUGGAAUUACUAGUAAUCGUGGAUCAGCGUGCCACGGUGAAUGCGUUCCCGGGUCUUGUACACACCGCCCGUCACACCAUGGGAGUUGGUUCUACCUUAAGGCAAGGUUUCAAACCCUUGACCACGGUAUAGUCAGCGACUGGGGUGAAGUCGUAACAAGGUAACC
rnacentral:rRNA from 1 species